rnacentral:rRNA from 1 species
GAGGCGUAGCGAAAGCGAGUCUUAAUAGGGCGUUUAGUCGCUGGGUAUAGACCCGAAACCGGGCGAUCUAUCCAUGGGCAGGUUGAAGGUUAGGUAACACUGACUGGAGGACCGAACCGACUACCGUUGAAAAGUUAGCGGAUGACCUGUGGAUCGGAGUGAAAGGCUAAUCAAGCUCGGAGAUAGCUGGUUCUCCUCGAAAGCUAUUUAGGUAGCGCCUCAUGUAUCACUCCAGGGGGUAGAGCACUGUUUCGGCUAGGGGGUCAUCCCGACUUACCAAACCGAUGCAAACUCCGAAUACCUACAAGUGCCGAGCAUGGGAGACACACGGCGGGUGCUAACGUCCGUCGUGAAAAGGGAAACAACCCAGACCGUCAGCUAAGGUCCC